rnacentral:rRNA from 1 species
GUGCCAGCAGCCGCGGUAAUACGUAGGUGGCAAGCGUUGUCCGGAAUUAUUGGGCGUAAAGGGCUCGCAGGCGGUUUCUUAAGUCUGAUGUGAAAGCCCCCGGCUCAACCGGGGAGGGUCAUUGGAAACUGGGAAACUUGAGUGCAGAAGAGGAGAGUGGAAUUCCACGUGUAGCGGUGAAAUGCGUAGAGAUGUGGGAGGAACACCAGUGGGCGAAAGGCGACUCUCUGGGUCUGUAACUGACGCUGAGGAGCGAAAGCGUGGGGGAGCGAACAGGAUUAGAUACCCUGGUAGUCC